rnacentral:lncRNA from 1 species
GAAAACAAAAUUUUAUUUUGUGAUUUGAAUUCCUUUCAAAACCCAAAUGUUCGGGCAUAUUUUGAGAGUGAACAAGCACGGAUUUUACAAAAACGACGUGUCCAACAACAAGAUCAAGAUCAAGAAACUCCUCCUCCAUCUACUUCAUUUGGACAAUAUUUUAACUAUCUUGGCGGAUCUACAAGCAAUUUACCGGACUAUUAAAUUAUUAGUUUUAUGUUUUAGUUUUUUUAUGUUGUUUAUUUUAAAUUUAGUAUUUGUUUGCUUGUUAAGUUU